rnacentral:pre_miRNA from 1 species
ACAACAACAUUCGGACCGUCGGUCUACCGAGCAAUAUCACCCGCUCGGUGGAAAAUCUUCCCUUUGUCGUAUACC